ACGGCUUCAUGAGCACCACAAAAGAAGCUUGCUCUGAUUGAAUGCAAAGCGAGCCACCGCAUUUUGCUUGGGCUGCCAGCUUGACCUCUAUCCAGCGUUGUCUCGUUUCACGGCACAAUGGUCCCUCCUGUGGCAGUUUCCCCGCUGAUCAAGACAGCCCGUUGGUCUGCACUGAUCGCAGGAAUCGUCUAUGGAAAGAAGCGAUAUGAUCACCUAAAGCCAAUCGCUGCAGAAGAGAGACGAAUUGAAGAGGAGGAGAAGAAGAUCAGAGAGGAGAAGGAGCGCAUUGCCAAGGAGCUAGCAGAAGCGAGCGAGGACACCAUUCUGAAAUGAACAACCUGUGGCGAAUUUCCUCACCUCACUUUCCUCCCUCCUCACAUGCACAUGUGGCAGUCUCUUCCGUACCAACGUAUUCCAGAGUGAUGGUGCUGUGUCUUUUUACUCCUGAGUCUCAAUCGCUGUAGACUGGAGCAACCACACGCCUGUUUUUCCUGUUUCUUUGCAGUUUGUAAAUAUACUGUUUGGAACUCCGUACGUACAUUGAAGGUCUUUGUAUGAAUUAUUCAAGCAACACACAGACACCAUGAAGGAAAAUAAUUUUUCAAUUUAUAAAUGUAAAUGACUAUUAAAAAUAAUGAGACCUAA